rnacentral:pre_miRNA from 1 species
AGUGGAUAGCUGGGUCAAAUGGUGGUUCCAUUCCCAGUUUUUGAGGAAUCUCCAUACUGCUUUCUAUAGUGGUUACACCAAUUUGUAAUCCCACCAGCAAU